rnacentral:rRNA from 1 species
AGCUCCAAUAGCGUAUAUUAAAGUUGUUGCAGUUAAAAAGCUCGUAGUUGAAUUUCUGGGGUGUGUCCAGCGUCCUUAAUUGGUUCGUUGGAUGCACUCCAUCCUUGUGGGGAAGCAGCAAUGCCCACCCGCAUCAUUUACUGUGAAAAAAUUAGAGUGUUCAAAGCAGGCUUUAGGCUUGAAUACAUUAGCAUGGAAUAAUAAGAUAGGACUUCAGUACUAUUU